rnacentral:lncRNA from 1 species
AAUAUAGAAGGGGAAGUGUGGUUGCUGGGCUGGAAUCUUGCAAAUGUGAUCUGCAUGCUGAAGUGGGGUAUUGUAUAUUGAAUUCUUAACUGGGCUUGUGAAUUUGGAGUGGCUAUAGAGUUUCUUCCUCUCAUAAAAAUAAAGAAAGGAGCUUUAGUGAUCAAUGGCUAGGAGUAAUGAGGUUGAUCUUACUGACUCCAAGGUAUUUACAUGUUAUUGUUCCUGAUUUUCUUUCUUUUUGGCUUUGAUGAUCAGGUAAUUAUGUUUUAUUACUUGGGUUUGCCUUAGAUUCUUAGCUCGUCUGCUGAAAUUUGGGUUUUGGGUGAAUCUUGCUAAGUGCUCUGCCCCUUGCUCAUGCGUGGCUCAUUUUUAGUCAUUCUGAUACUGCAUCCGAGAGCAAGCCUUACUUUUUCUGAUUUUUAGACAUUCUGAUUCUGCACCUGAGAGCAAGCUUUACUUUUUCUGAUUUUGGGGCUACUUCAACUCUUGGUAGGUGUAGAGUAUUCCUAGGAUCUAGUUUGAUGAUGAUCUGUUCUGUAGAAGUUCUUCCUUUUGUGCCAAGUUAUUGCAUUUCUAUCAGUCUUUUUUAGUUUAUUCAGUGUUGUACUUAUUUUCUGUGUUUUGUGGCAGUUUUUUUUGGCUCCUAGUGAUUAAUCUUGUGACUCUCUCAUGUUCUCUUAACUUCUUCUCUCUAGAUUCCUUAGUUUAACAGAAGUUGUAAAGGCAAAGAUAAAUAUAGACGGAGAAAGGAAGCUGCGUGUAUAUGCAAUAUUUUGUAGGUUUAAUUUGAUUUAAAGAGAAAUGAGCUACAAUCUCCGGACAGGUUGGGGAUACUUGGUAGGAGUUAUAAUUCAGAAACUCUUAGGUAUGUAGAUUAGCAGUUAUCGGAAUUGUAGAAGAUAAGAGAAAUCAAGUGCAAAAAACACCAGCUGAAGUGUUAUGUUUAGACUUGUUUUUCAAAACUGCUAGCAAGAGCUUUCUUUAGAAAACUUAACAAACUAUAAGAAGGUUUUGACAUUUAUCCCAUUUCUUGACAGGAUUUUUUUUAUUUUAUGUUUUUUUUUAAAUUAUUUUGAACUUAACAUGUAGUUUCCUAUUUACUUAUUGAUCACAUGCUCUGUAUAGAUUGAGGGUAUCAUGAUUGAUAGUGCAGGCUUUGUCAGCUUUGGUACUUUUUAUUGUGUUCUCAGUUUUUACUGCUUUUGCAUUACAGCGGGUGGUUCCACUGAAUACCUGGAUCCUCAUCUCCAAGUUCAAGUUGUCAUACAAACUCCUUCGCCGUUCAGAUGGGACUUUUGAUCGCCACUUGGCUGAAUUCCUUGAUCGCAAGGUUCCUCCCAAUGCAAACCCAGUUGAUGGAGUUUACUCUUUUGAUGUUAUUAUUGACCGGGGAAUCGGCUUGCUUAGUCGAGUCUAUCGACCAGCAGAGGAAGGAGAAGGUUUGCCAACUCUGGCUGAACUUGAAAAACCUAUCACAUCUGAUAUUGUCCCUGUCAUAAUCUUCUUCCAUGGAGGAAGCUUUGCUCAUUCCUCUGCUGAUAGUUCUAUAUAUGACACCCUUUGCCGACGUCUAGUUGGUGUUUGUAAGGCUGUUGUGGUGUCUGUUAAUUACCGAUUAGCACCUGAAAACCGUUAUCCUUGUGCAUAUGAGGAUGGCUGGACUGCUGUUAAGUGGGUCAGCUCAAGGAAAUGGUUGCAGAGUAAAAAGGACUCAAAAGUUCAUAUAUUUUUAUGUGGUGAUA